UCCCUUAAAACUUUCCUGCCAUGCUUUUGAUGGUUAGACAGGUACCAAACACGUUGGGAGACAAAACUCAGUUAAAGGCUCAGGAGGUCUGCUUAUCUUCGCAGGGCUCCACCAUCCCCAUCCUCUGCCCUAACCACACCAGAUGUUCUGGGCUUGAUGUUAUUUGCCUACUAGAUGGUAGGUCUAAUCUUAGUCCCUUGAGCCUUGUAGUUGGGGUCUACUGCUAAGUUGGCUGCUUGCUCCGUUCUUCCCCACACGGGUCCCAAGAGAGCUGCCUCUUGGUUCUAAUCCUACCCUUACUUUCAGGGUCAGGAAAGACUCGCCCCUCCAGGAGGGGUAUAGUCUUGUCCACGACUCUUCUUCUUUCCAGGGUCCCAAAACAAUUCUCUCCGCUCCUCAGGACUGGAUCCACUGACAGAGAGGCCUCCUCUAUCGCUGUGCCAGCUCUCAGGAGUGUAUCCUGAGUAUGCUGUAAACUAUCCAGAAGGAGCAAGAAGUAGACUGUGGACUUGAUUGACGUGCAGAGAACUAUUACACAUUCAGUUCCUCACCUCCUUCCCCCUUCUAAGCAAGACUAGUGCUAGAAACUGCAAACCCAUGCUGAGGUGAAGUGAAUGCAGAUAAUCUUUUGGGAACCAGCUUAAGGUUGAGUUUGGAAUUGGCUCCGUGGGGGAUUGUUGAAUUGGAACAACGGGCAUCUCUCUGAACAUAAUGGAUCCUACUACAGAGGAAGAGGUGAGGUGUAGC